UAGGGAAUAUUGCGCAAUGGAGGAAACUCUGACGCAGCGACGCCGCGUGGGUGACGAAGGCCUUCGGGUCGUAAAGCCCUGUCGGAUGGGACGAAAAACGGAAUGGCUAAUAUCCAUACCGCUUGACGGUACCAUUAAAGGAAGCACCGGCUAACUACGUGCCAGCAGCCGCGGUAAUACGUAGGGUGCAAGCGUUGUUCGGAAUCAUUGGGCGUAAAGCGCGUGUAGGUGGCUAGUUAAGUUGGAUGUGAAAUCCCUGGGCUCAACCGAGGAAGUGCAUUCAAAACUGGCUGGCUAGAAGAUGGUAGAGGAAGGUGGAAUUCCAAGUGUAGAGGUGAAAUUCGUAGAUAUUUGGAGGAAUACCGGCGGCGAAGGCGGCCUUCUGGGCCAUUCUUGACACUGAGACGCGAAAGCGUGGGGAGCAAACAGG
rnacentral:rRNA from 1 species